rnacentral:lncRNA from 1 species
UGUCGAUUAGAAAUAGUUAAAGGUGAGAUUCUUAGAAAAUCAAAUAUAAAAGGUUAGAAACAUAGAGAGAUUUCAAUUGAUCACAAAAUGUUCAUCUAGUAUCGUAAUCUCCAUAGGAUCCAUUGGUUUCUGUAGCAGUUCCUUUUAUCAUAUUUGAAUAUGCACCUUCUUUUUCUCAAGAUGUUUUGAUCACUUAAGACAGAUUAUUCUUUUAGUAUAUUUAAGUUAUUAAAUCAAUAUAAAAUAAAUAUAUUUAUAAAAAUUAGAAAAUAAAAUAUUCAAAAAAUCAGAAGGAAAAAUCUAUCCUAGCCCUCCAUAAAUUAGAUCUGAUAUGAUUAACUACAUUUGUCACUAUCUAUGGUACUGUUAGCUUCUCUAUAAAUAUGCUUCGCUUUGAAUUAAGGUUGGAAAUAGAUCGAGUUGGAUCGGGCUAGACUGGAUUGGGCCAUGUUCCUAUCCGAGUCUCGUUCGAAAUUUAUUAUUGGACUUCGGGUUGGACUUAAUUCUGAAAAUUUUUAAAAAAUUUAAGCCAGAGCCCGGCCCGAACCAUGUUAAGCCAGCCCGAAAAAAAAAAACAAAAAUGGACGCUCGAAAGCAAGCCUGUGGCCUUUCGCUGGGAGGGGGUGGGCCUUUGCCGUUGGCCUCUCGCAGCUCCUCCUCCCUCUCUCGGAGCAUGGCGCGAAAUCGAUCACGGAUCGGCAGGGGCUGUCGCUCCGUUGAUGCUGCCAGACACGAGUGGCGAUCCCCUCGAGGAAAUCUAGGGCAUUCAUCGAAUCUACGAGACGCUACCAAAGGAGGAAGAGGACGGCGGCCACGAGGCCCUCCUCCGCCGCCUCGGCCAGAUCCUGACGCUUGCCUCCGCCCUUGCCUACGAGAAAGGGGAAGCUUCUUCCUCACCAGCCACCGUUGCCGCCGCCUGCAAUGGCCGAAGGACGCCGCUCGACAUCUUCUGCGAGGACGAGAGCCUCGUCUCCGCCGGCGCCGUUGAUGACUUCACCUGGAUAGCAUUCGAGGAGCACCUUCAGCCAGGGGCGGCUCAACAUAUAGGGUGGCCUAAAGCUAAAAAUUGAUCGUCGCACCCUUCCAUCUUCUUUGCCACCGCUCAGCCAUUAGAAGCCCAGAACUCCCCUACCGUCGGAAGCCUGAAACUCCACCGCCACCGGAGACUCCCCUCAAGCAUGAAAUGUUUGCCGUCGGAGAUCGGGAGACCCCCUCAAGCUAGACUACUAUCGUCGGAUGGGUCCACAUCCUCUCCAUUGACGGUAGUGUUGCUAGUGCCUCCGAUGGCCUUUUCAUUAGUGUCACUCUCACCCACCUUGAGGCCUCCCUCUGCAAGCUCUUCGGCAACCUCACCGCUCGAAUUGCCGACUUCUUCACCUGCAGCUCCGACGGGCACCCAUUCUUCUCUGCCGCCGCCGCCCUCCGCCUCCUCACCAAGAACCACUCCCAAAUCCCAUGAGGUCGUGACUCCCGUCUCGCCGUCUCCAGCGAGAAGACGGCCCUAAUAGAUAUUAGGGGUGGCGGCUCCCGUCUUGCGUCUCCCAGCUCCCAUCUCGCCAUCUUGCGAUUCCCAUCUCACCGUCUCCCAUCUCCGGCACCAUUUAUCUUCUCGUGACUGGAUGGCUGAAUGCGGUGGAGAUAGAUGGCAGAGGAGCCUGGGGGCCUAAAAUAAGUAGAGACCUAAAGCAAGCGCUUUAAUGGCCUUACCCUUAAGCCGGCUCUGCCUUCAGCUCCGUGCCGCGAUGACUUCCGUCUCAUCACCGGCGGCCAUGGAUGGGAUCUCGGCUCUGCUUCCAUGUUCUUCCAUCGAAGCAUUUCCUCGACGGCUUGAGGGCUCGUCGCCUUCCAUGGCGGCGGCUUCUUGUCAGGGCUUUUGGGGCCGCUGGCCGCAACAUCUUGCUCCCAAAGGCAAACCUCAUGGCGAGAUGAG